rnacentral:lncRNA from 1 species
CUUCCUUGGCUUUUUGGGACUUCCUCUUUUGGUUCUUGUUCCUGGAUUUGCUUUCGUUUUGUAUAUUUGCCUUGCUUGUGAAUUUCCCUUCUUUUCUGUGCUAAGCACUGUGCGAAGUUUAGGGGUGGGAAAAGGUACCGAGGUGCAUGGAUAUGGAGAAGAAAAGCUCUCCUGCUGUGGCUGAGAGGUGAUCCAAAGGAGGCCUCCCGAGCAAGCACCGCAAAGGCAGCUUGCUUCUCCAGAGGCUGCAGCAUAAGCUCGUGUUCCUUGUGGAGGACUGCGUUGUGCAUCUGCAGGAGCUGCUUUGGCAUGGAGGAUUUUGUGGAGUUGCUGCCAGUCGUUGCUCGGAUGAAGUGAGGCUUUUGUCCUUGUAUCUGUGCAGGAAAGCAGUGCGGAGGGAACGUGUGUGGUGAGAUGCUGAGGAGAGAUUGCCUCCCUUGCCCCAGCAGGCUGCUUGUGUCCUGGUGAUGCACGGUGACGAGAAGGCUGCUGUUCUGUGAGUAAGCCUGCCACGUGGGAGUAAUGGUUGUGGCCUUUUGGGCAAGUCUCUGAGGAGAGGUCUUUGGGCAGGCUGGUUGUUUUGCUGGGCAAGUGCCAUUUGAGUUGUUUGUUGCCAUGCUUGGUUGGUGCUUGUUUGAGAAAUAGUGGUCCUCUUGACGAGCAGUGCUCUGGCAGCAGGGGAGUGAGAAAUGUCAUGUCCACCCAGUCUUCUCCACGAGCCUUACGCUGCCUUUCCCCAUUGUCUGUAAAUGGCUGUAGAAAUGGCAGGGGGAGAAGUAGGGAAGAGGGUUUCUGUGCAUCUCUUAGCAGGUGUCAGCUCCUAAGAGCUGGGAGCCCUGCAGAGCGUCCUGG